CACACUUAUUUUGUGCAAAAAUGUACAAUAUGCAAAAACGUAGAAGAAUAUUCAAACGGAAAUGCUUAUUAUAAUCUCGAACUAUCAAUGGAUCAAGCCAUCAUUUUAUUUUGGUUUCGAAAUUAUCUGAUAGAUAUAAAACCUCAAAAUUUCGCCAAUUUUGUUCGAUUCUCGCGAGAAACUUCCAUGUUCGCAACUAUUCAAUUGCGAAACUUGGUGGUAAAAUUCGUCGAAAACGAUAGACUUAGACGGUAGAGACUUAAUAAUAAUUGUACUAUGCUUUUUCUUUUCAAUUUGACGAGGUAUUUUUCGUAAAACGUAGACUCCUUUGGGAACAGACUCUUGUUCUUCGUUUUCCAAAGCGACUCGUCUCCUUUCAUCAGACAACUCCUGGAAAGCGAGGGCUUCGGCUUGUCGACGCAACAAGUUUCGAGCAACUUCCGUUUCACCGCGCCCACGAUGAAAAGGAAAACGACCGACAGACACUACUUUACACCCGGUUAAACUCAUUCAAUCGAGCUCGAGGAGCUUCGCGAUCCUCUGAAUGCGGAUAAAUAAUACGGAAUUAAGCUACAACGUUGUGCACAAGUAAGGACGUUAACAGAAAUGCGCGAAUCCUAUGUGGCUCAUUCUGUCGGAUACGUGCAUCCAGCUUGAGAGUCCACUUUGCC